rnacentral:rRNA from 1 species
CGUCUAUAUACGUAUAGCAUAUCAAUAAGCGGAGGAAAAGAAACUAACUAGGAUUCCCUCAGUAACGGCGAGUGAAGCGGGAAGAGCUCAAAUUUGAAAUCUUCAAGGUUCUACCUUGACGAAUUGUAGUUUAAAGAAGUGUUUUCUGUUGGAGUUUUGGUAAAAGUUCUUCGGAAUAGGACAUCAUAGAGGGUGAGAAUCCCGUAUUUGACCAUUAUUUCCAACUUUGUGAUACACUUUCAAAGAGUCGGAUUGUUUGGGAAUGCAGUCCAAAAUGGGUGGUAAAUUUCAUCUAAAGCUAAAUACUGGCGAGAGACCGAUAGCGAACAAGUACCGUGAGGGAAAGAUGAAAAGAACUUUGAAAAGAGAGUUAAACAGUACGUGAAAUUGUCAAAAGGGAAGCGUUUGACACCAGUGUUGUUUUCUCGAAAAUCAAUUAAAAAUGGCUGAUUUUGUGUUGUAUUGACUUUAAUCAGCUUUCUGCACUUUUUUCUUGUCUUUUUUAAUGCACUUUUCGUUUAACAAGUCAACAUCAAUUUCUUUUGUUGUAAAAGGGUCAUUGGAAGGUGGCUUUCUUUUCGGAGAAAGUGUUUAUAGCCUUUGACUUCUGCAGUCGGAGAGAUUGAGGUCUGCAGCGUAGAUCCUUCGGGGUUAGAUGCAUUUGUGCUAAGUUGUAGCCUUUCAUAGACAACUUGUUGACUAUGAUCAGUCAUGUAGCUUACUCGCUUAUGUUAUUUUACCUACGCUUAGGAUGUUGAUCUGUAGUGCGUGCGCA